UUAUAAUGAGAACCAAUCCUAUAAUAGGAACUAAUUAGGGCCGUUAGAUCUUCCUUAGAUGCGGAUAGAUAGGCGGCUGAGAUUAAUCUAAACUUACUCCAUUCGUUUCCCAACCAUCGAGCGCACAUCCUCUCAUUUCUCUCUCCUCAAGCAUUUUCUCUCUCCUCCAUAGCAAUGAGUGCAUCUGAAUUCUCCAUUGAUGCGGCUUUUGAGCCUUCUCUACUCCAAUGAAGUAGCUUCUGAGGUGGAUCAAACCUAACUACUUGAAUUCAUUUUAAGAUUUAGAUACAUAUCCAGCUAGUAGCAAUAAUUCUCAUAAAAAAAAAUUGUUAUAUGUUGUUUUGCGCUUUCAUAUUAGUAAGUAAUGGAUUUUUUGAUAUUAUAUGCAAAAGGAUGUUCAUGGGAAGUGGUAUAGAGUAUUGAAGAGAAUUCGUCUCAAGUAAAUACUUGCCCAAUAGUAUAUAUACAGCAGUAAGAAAUCAGUGCAGCUGUUGAAGAUUCUACAUUUUUAGGUUUGACAAGAUCAUACUUGGCGUUUUUAGCCUUAUUAAGAUGCUUAAAAUCCUACAAUUGAGUUGUAUGAAAAGCACAUAGUAUAUGAUUUCUAGUUUGAACUUUACUGCAUGUGUAUAUAACCCAUAUGUUUUUUUGAUGUUUGUUUGAUAAAAUUCCCCAAUGAAUCAAA